rnacentral:rRNA from 1 species
GACGAACGCUGGCGGCGUGCCUAAUACAUGCAAGUAGAACGCUUAAGGAGGAGCUUGCUUCUCUGGAUGAGUUGCGAACGGGUGAGUAACGCGUAGGUAACCUGCCUGGUAGCGGGGGAUAACUAUUGGAAACGAUAGCUAAUACCGCAUAAGAGUAGAUGUUGCAUGACAUUUGCUUAAAAGGUGCAAUUGCAUCACUACCAGAUGGACCUGCGUUGUAUUAGCUAGUUGGUGGGGUAACGGCUCACCAAGGCGACGAUACAUAGCCGACCUGAGAGGGUGAUCGGCCACACUGGGACUGAGACACGGCCCAGACUCCUACGGGAGGCAGCAGUAGGGAAUCUUCGGCAAUGGACGGAAGUCUGACCGAGCAACGACGCGUGAGUGAAGAAGGUUUUCGGAUCGUAAAGCUCUGUUGUAAGAGAAGAACGAGUGUGAGAGUGGAAAGUUCACACUGUGACGGUAUCUUACCAGAAAGGGACGGCUAACUACGUG